GAAAUGCGAUAAGUAGUGUGAAUUGCAGAAUUCAGUGAAUCAUCGAAUCUUUGAACGCACAUUGCGCCCUUUGGUAUUCCAAAGGACAUGCCUGUUCGAGCGUCAUUUGUACCCUCAAGCUUUGCUUGGUGUUGGGCGUCUUGUCUCUAGCUUUGCUGGAGACUCGCCUUAAAGUAAUUGGCAGCCGGCCUACUGGUUUCGGAGCGCAGCACAAGUCGCACUCUCUAUCAGCAAAGGUCUAGCAUCCAUUAAGCCUUUUUUCAACUUUUGACCUCGGAUCAGGUAGGGAUACCCGCUGAACUUAAGC
rnacentral:misc_RNA from 1 species